AGUCAAGUAAUUAAGUGCAUGUGGUGGAUGCCUUGGCAGUCAGAGGCGAUGAAAGACGUGAUAGCCUGCGAAAAGCUCCGGGGAGGCGGCAAAUAUCCUUUGAUCCGGAGAUGUCUGAAUGGGGGAACCCACCUACUUUAAGGUAGGUAUUGCAACAUGAAUACAUAGUGUUGCAAGGCGAACGAGGGGAAGUGAAACAUCUCAGUACCCUUAGGAAAAGAAAUCAAUUGAGAUUCCCUCAGUAGCGGCGAGCGAACGGGGAUCAGCCCAUUAAGUUAUGUGUGUUUUAGUGGAACGCUCUGGGAAGUGCGAACGUAGAGGGUGAUAUUCCCGUACACGAAAGGGCACACAUAAUGAUGACGAGUAGGGCGAGGCACGUGAAACCUUGUCUGAAUAUGGGGGACCAUCCUCCAAGGCUAAAUACUCCUGACUGACCGAUAGUGAACCAGUACCGUGAGGGAAAGGCGAAAAGAACCCCUGUGAGGGGAGUGAAAUAGAUCCUGAAACCGCAUGCAUACAAGCAGUGGGAGCACCUUCGUGGUGUGACUGCGUACCUUUUGUAUAAUGGGUCAGCGACUUAUAUUCAGUAGCGAGGUUAACCGUAUAGGGGAGCCGUAGAGAAAUCGAGUCUUAAUAGGGCGUUUAGUUGCUGGGUAUAGACCCGAAACCAGGCGAUCUAUCCAUGAGCAGGUUGAAGGUUGGGUAACACUAACUGGAGGACCGAACCCACUGUCGUUGAAAAGCCAGGGGAUGACUUGUGGAUAGGGGUGAAAGGCUAAUCAAGCCUGGUGAUAGCUGGUUCUCCCCGAAAGCUAUUUAGGUAGCGCCUCGGACGAAUACCAUAGGGGGUAGAGCACUGUUUCGGCUAGGGGGUCAUCCCGACUUACCAAACCGAUGCAAACUCCGAAUACCUAUGAGUACUAUCCGGGAGACAGACUGCGGGUGCUAACGUCCGUAGUCAAGAGGAAAACAAUCCAGACCGCCAGCUAAGGCCCCAAAAUCAUAGUUAAGUGGGAAACGAUGUGGGAAGGCAUAGACAGCUAGGAGGUUGGCUUAGAAGCAGCCACCCUUUAAAGAAAGCGUAAUAGCUCACUAGUCGAGUCGGCCUGCGCGGAAGAUGUAACGGGGCUAAAACUAUGUGCCGAAGCUGCGGAUGUAUACUUUGUAUACGUGGUAGGGAGCGUUCUGUAAGCCGAUGAAGGUGUGUUGAGAAGCAUGCUGGAGGUAUCAGAAGUGCGAAUGCUGACGUGAGUAACGACAAAACGGGUGAAAAACCCGUUCGCCGAAAGACCAAGGGUUCCAGUCCAACGUUAAUCGGGGCUGGGUGAGUCGACCCCUAAGGCGAGGCCGAAAGGCGUAGUCGAUGGGAAAAUGGUUAAUAUUCCAUUACUUCUGUGUAAUGCGAUGAGAGGACGGAGAAGGCUAAAUCAGCCUGGCGUUGGUUGUCCAGGUGAAAGGAUGUAGGCAUGUAUCUUAGGCAAAUCCGGGGUACUCUAUGCUGAGAUCUGAUAGCAAGCUGUACUUGUACAGCGAAGUGGUUGAUGCCAUGCUUCCAGGAAAAGUCUCUAAGCUUCAGUUACACAGGAAUCGUACCCGAAACCGACACAGGUGGUCAGGUCGAGUAGACCAAGGCGCUUGAGAGAACUCUGCUGAAGGAACUAGGCAAAAUGGUACCGUAACUUCGGGAGAAGGUACGCUGUUGUUGGUGAUGGAACUCGCUUCCUGAGCUGACGACAGCCGCAGAAACCAGGCCGCUGCAACUGUUUAUUAAAAACAUAGCACUCUGCAAACACGAAAGUGGACGUAUAGGGUGUGAUGCCUGCCCGGUGCUGGAAGGUUAAUUGAUGGGGUUAGCGUAAGCGAAGCUCUUGAUCGAAGCCCCAGUAAACGGCGGCCGUAACUAUAACGGUCCUAAGGUAGCGAAAUUCCUUGUCGGGUAAGUUCCGACCUGCACGAAUGGCAUAAUGAUGGCGGCGCUGUCUCCAGCAGAGGCUCAGUGAAAUCGAAAUCGCUGUGAAGAUGCAGUGUACCCGCGGCUAGACGGAAAGACCCCGUGAACCUUUACUGCAGCUUGACACUGAACUUUGACCUUACUUGUGUAGGAUAGGUGGGAGGCUUUGAAGCUGGAACGCUAGUUCCAGUGGAGCCGUCCUUGAAAUACCACCCUGGUAAUGUUGAGGUUCUAACUCUGUCCCGUGAUCCGGGACGAGGACCGUGUCUGGUGGGUAGUUUGACUGGGGCGGUCUCCUCCUAAAGAGUAACGGAGGAGUACGAAGGUGCGCUCAGCGUGGUCGGAAAUCACGCGUAGAGUAUAAAGGCAAAAGCGCGCUUAACUGCGAGACCCACAAGUCGAGCAGGUACGAAAGUAGGUCUUAGUGAUCCGGUGGUUCUGUAUGGAAGGGCCAUCGCUCAACGGAUAAAAGGUACUCUGGGGAUAACAGGCUGAUACCGCCCAAGAGUUCAUAUCGACGGCGGUGUUUGGCACCUCGAUGUCGGCUCAUCUCAUCCUGGGGCUGAAGCAGGUCCCAAGGGUAUGGCUGUUCGCCAUUUAAAGAGGUACGCGAGCUGGGUUUAGAACGUCGUGAGACAGUUCGGUCCCUAUCUACCGUGGGCGCUGGAAAUUUGAGAGGAUCUGCUCCUAGUACGAGAGGACCAGAGUGGACGAACCUCUGGUGUACCGGUUGUGACGCCAGUCGCAUCGCCGGGUAGCUAUGUUCGGAAGGGAUAACCGCUGAAAGCAUCUAAGCGGGAAGCCUACCUCAAGAUAAGAUUUCCCUAGGACUUUAUGUCCUCUAAAGAGCCGUUCGAGACUAGGACGUUGAUAGGUUGGAUGUGGAAGCAUAGUGAUAUGUGAAGCUGACCAAUACUAAUUGCUCGUGAGGCUUGACUAU
rnacentral:rRNA from 1 species